rnacentral:rRNA from 1 species
GAUGAACGCUGGCGGCGUGCCUAAUACAUGCAAGUAGAACGCUGAAGGAAGGAGCUUGCUCUUUCCGGAUGAGUUGCGAACGGGUGAGUAACGCGUAGGUAACCUGCCUGGUAGCGGGGGAUAACUAUUGGAAACGAUAGCUAAUACCGCAUAACAGUAGAUGUUGCAUGAUAUCUACUUAAAAGGUGCAAUUGCACCACUACCAGAUGGACCUGCGUUGUAUUAGCUAGUUGGUGAGGUAACGGCUCACCAAGGCGACGAUACAUAGCCGACCUGAGAGGGUGAGCGGCCACACUGGGACUGAGACCCGGCCCAGACUCCUACGGGAGGCAGCAGUAGGGAAUCUUCGGCAAUGGGCGGAAGUCUGACCGAGCAACGCCGCGUGAGUGAAGAAGGUUGUCGGAUCGUAAAGCUCUGUUGUAAGAGAAGAACGAGUGUGAGAGUGGAAAGUUCACACUGUGACGGUAUCUUACCAGAAAGGGACGGCUAACUACGUG